rnacentral:rRNA from 1 species
GAUGAACGCUGGCGGCGUGCCUAAUACAUGCAAGUCGAGCGAACAGACGAGGAGCUUGCUCCUCUGACGUUAGCGGCGGACGGGUGAGUAACACGUGGAUAACCUACCUAUAAGACUGGGAUAACUUCGGGAAACCGGAGCUAAUACCGGAUAAUAUAUUGAACCGCAUGGUUCAAUAGUGAAAGACGGUUUUGCUGUCACUUAUAGAUGGAUCCGCGCCGCAUUAGCUAGUUGGUAAGGUAACGGCUUACCAAGGCAACGAUGCGUAGCCGACCUGAGAGGGUGAUCGGCCACCCUGGAACUGAGACUCGGUCCAGACUCCUACGGUGGGCAGCAGUAGGGAAUCUUCCGCGAUGGGCGAAAGCCUGACGGAGCACCGCCGCGUGAGUGAUGAAGGUCUUCGGCUCGUAAAACUAUGUUAUUAGGGAAGAACAAAUGUGUAAGUAACUAUGAACGUCUUGACGGUACCUAAUCAGAAAGCCACGGCUAACUACGUG